rnacentral:rRNA from 1 species
AAUGAACGUUGGCGGCGUGGAUUAGGCAUGCAAGUCGCGCGAUAAGUCCCCGCAAGGGGACGGAAAGCGGCGAAAGGGACAGUAAUGCGUAGAUACCUACCCUCGGGCUCGGGAUAGCUGCGGGAAACUGCAAUUAAUAACGAAGAACGUCUCCGGACCAAAGGUGUGAUUCCGCCUGGAGAUGGGGCUGCGUCCUAUUAGCUAGUUGGCGUGGUAACGGCACACAAAGGCAAAGAUGGGUAGCAGGUGUGAGAGCACGACCUGCGUCACCGGGACUGAGACACUGCCCAGACACCUACGGGUGGCUGCAGUCGAGGAUCUUCGGCAAUGGGCGCAAGCCUGACCGAGCGACGCCGCGUGCGGGAUGAAGGCCUUCGGGUUGUAAACCGCUGUCAGAGAGGCGGAAAUAUAGGGGGGUUCUCCCUUCUAUUUGACCUAUUCUCAGAGGAAGUGCGGGCUAAGUCCGUGCCAGCAGCCGCCGUAA